CCCUGAGGGACAAGGGUGGGUCCCCGCGAAUCUCCGGGCAGCCUUAGUGCUGACUCCGCCCCCUGCAGGGGUAGGGCGCUGCCCAGGAGCACUCUGUGUUCCAGAAAACCCCAAAAUAACCCAACUUUGCUGUCCAGCUGCUAUUUCUGUCCAUCUUGUUUAAUUAUUCAAACCCAAGUUGGGGAGUGAACUAUAAAAAGCUCUCCGGCUCGGGGACCCAGGAGAGCAGGGAGGCUCGCCAGGUUGCCAUCGGAGCAGAGCACAUGGUUAAGUGAGGUCACUCAGUGAGGCCUUCUGCCUGAAAGUUCCAUCUGCUGUUCGCUUGCUUCCUCUGCUAGAAGGAGGACCGGGGCCUCCCUCCCUGGGCCUCCCUCAGGCCCUCCCCCCUGCACCCCUCCCAGCCUGCCCUGCCCGGGAGCUGGGCCCCACCCACCUCCCUUGACUCUGGAUGUGUUUGCCCUCAGUGGACCCUUUGAUGACUGCUUCCUAGUCCUGGUUCUUAGCCCAUAGAUCCUCUUAUCAGACCCCAGCUUCCAGGACUUCGUGGGGGGCAGGAAGUGCAGGUGGCCCGGAGUCUAACAGAGGUCGUGUUCCCCACCCAGCUGCAUCUCUGCCAGGCUGAGGAAGACGCUCGGGCAGUCCGCAGUGCGGACACAGGCUGUCACCACUCUUGACCCAUGGCCCAGCAUGGGCUUAGCUCCCAACCAGAGAGAGCGCCCACGUGGGGGAUUAAGCAUGGAGACCAGAGAAUGGGAGUUCGAGAACGGUGAGAAUAGACUCACCACCUGCUCAUCCAUGACUUCCUGUGUGCGCCUUGCGGAGCUCAGCCGUGGACCCCCGCUCGCGGCCCACUGCGGUGGCCUUGCCUGGACUGGGAGGCAUCUUGGAGAGAGCAGUCCCAAGACUGCAGAGAACAGGAGGUUCCCUGGGCAUCGGGAGGCUCGAUCCUCACCGCUCCAGGCUGACCCGCAUCAGCGUCUUGGAAGGUCAGAGAAGAAGGCGGGAGCGGGCUGGGGUGGGCCACUCUGGACCCCUCGGGCACGUGCGGACCCGGCCGGCAGGUGGUCAGAACUGCCCAGAACUGUGCUGCUGACCUGUCAAGCACAACUCUCGUUUCCCCAAAGGCACAGGUGAUUUGAAUGUGCAUUUGAGCCUGUGUGCUUAUGGGGGUUUGCUGGACUGAUUGCGGCAACCACUUCACGACUGGCACAGAGACCGAGUCCGUCUGUCACACGUCUGCAGCCUCCCUACAGUUACCUGUCAAUUACAUGUCAAACGGAGGGGAGAGGAGGACGGGCCGCGUCGCUGCGGUGCUCUGUGCACAGUCUCUUUGCCCAGGUGAGACCUGCACAGAUGUCCUCGAUAGCCAGGAGCUCCUCAAGGCCCUCCCGCCACGGAGGUUAGUGCGGGCGGGGUGUGGGGAGCCCCGCAGUUUCUUCCACUCGCUUCACACACUGUGGUGGGCUCCCAAGAAAGCCUCCCUUUGAGGACCCAGCCCCAGACAGAAGAGACCUCGUGCUUUGUGAUGGAACAUCUCUGCUAUGGAACGUCAGACAGCCUUGCAGAGCAAGCCAUGGGGCCGACGCGGGGACACACAGCCUCUGGACACACAUUAUCCGACGGAAGAAGCAAGUCUCAGGGCCACCUGGCCGGCUCGGUCGGGAGAGCAUGCAGCUUUUGAUCUUGGGGUUAUGAGUUUGAGUCCCACACUGGACGUGGAGCUGACUUCCAGGGAACAAAGCCCGUCUCAGAGCAGUGUACGCCAGACUAGGCCACUUGCACAAAUCAGGCACGUAUGAGUAGGGAAACCAUCAUCUCAGCAAACUUAGCGGCUCAGAACAGCAGGCGUGUCGUGUUAACUUGCAGGGUCGGGGAGUGACGGGGUGGCCGGGUGCUUUUCCCGCUGGCUGGCUGCGUCCUGACGGGGCCAGGGUGAAGGCCUCCUCAUGUGUCUGGCGCUCGGGCUGGGAACACUCAGACAGGUGGGGUCCAGACAAAGCUAUGAUCCUGUCUCUCCUAGUCCCGUCUUUGUGUUCUUCCCGGCCCAGGGGUUUCCAGGUAGCCAGAAUCCCUUUUUUUUUUUUUUUUUUAAAGGUUUUAUUUAUUUAUUUGACACAGAAAGAGAGACAGUGAGAGAGGGAACAGAAGCAGGGGCAGUGGGAGAGGAAAAGCAGGCUUCCUGCCAAGCAGGGAGCCCGGUGCUGGGCUCAAUCCCUGGACCUUGGGAUCGUGACCUGAGCCAAAGGCAGACGCUUAACAACAGAGUCAUCCAGGCGCCCCGGUAGCCAGUAUUCUUAGGAGUGGUGUAGGACUCAGAAGUUAUGUGUCCUACAUAGAGCACCAAGGGGGAUCAAUGUUUCUUCCUAGGACCUAGCCUUGGGAACGACCCCACAUCAUUUCUGUGCCACACUCGUGAGACAGUCGCGGGGCCCGCCCAGGGGUCCCACAGAGCCCCCACCUGGUGGGGGAGCAGGUGUGAUAGGACAUGUCCCGCCCACCUGCGGAAGAGAGCAGAUUCUGCCACAGUGAGUUGGUGAACAUGUUGAGAACAUGACCAUGAACAUGAGGAGAAAAGGCCCCGAAGGAUCUUCACCAAAACAUAACAGGGCUUCCCCUUAGAGAAGAUGGGGCGCUGCGAAGUUUCACCUGCCUUCCUACGUAUGCCUUGAGUCCUUGGAGAUGACAGAUACAUUCUUUGGUUUGAUGAAUAGGAAACAGAAGAGAAGAAAAAAGGAAGAGAAGCCAAGUAAAGCUUUGCUGUAAGCCCCUCAUAAUGAAAGGUUUGAUAGAUCGGGAUUUUGGGAAAAUAUUGAAAUGCAUCUGAAUUUUAUGAACAUAUUACAUUAGGUUGGUGAUAUUUUUUUUUUAAAGAUUUUAUUUAUUUAUUUGACAGAGAGAGAUCACAAGUAGGCAGAGAGGCAGGCAGAGAGAGAGAGAGGAGGAAGCAGGCUCCCCGCUGAGCAGAGAGCCCGAUGUGGGACUCGAUCCCAGGACCCUGAGAUCAUGACCUGAGCCGAAGGCAGCGGCUUAACCCACUGAGCCACCCUGGCGCCCCAGGUUGGUGAUAUUUUAUUUUAUUUAUUAUUUAAGUUUUUUUUUUAGUAAGCUCUAUACCCCACGUGGGGCUCAAACUCACAACCCCAAGAUCAAGAGUCGAGGCACAGGCUCUGCCAACGGAGUCAGCGAGGCACCCCACGCUGGUUCUAGUUUAAAUAAGGUGCAGAGGGCACCUGGGUGGCUUAGUUGGUUGAGCGACUGCCUUCGGCUCAGCUCAUGAUCCUGGAGUCCCUGGAUCGAGUCCCACAUCGGGCUCCCUGCUCAGCAGGGUGUUUGCUUCUCCCUCUGACCCUCUCCCUUCUCAUACGUGCUCUCUCUCAAAUAAAUAAAUAAUAAAUCUUUUAAAAUAAAUAAGGCGCAGAAAUGAGGACAGAAUUAUGAUUCUUUUCCCAACUUUAUUGAGCUAUAACUGACAUAACAUUAUAUAAAUUUAAGGUAUACAAUGUAACGAUCUCUCUCUCUAUAUUUUUUGUUACAUAGUGUAACAGUUAAUAUAUAAUAUAAUGUGAUAUACUAUGUAAUGGUUACAGAGUGUAACAUGUUACAUAGUGUAACAAAAGAUAGAUACAUAGAUACAGGGAAAGUAAGAGAAAUGAGCACUGCAGUAGGCUUAAGUAAUGCCUCUCUUGGUGCGAUGGUUACCAUGUUCGCCCGUCGUGAGAACAUUUAGGACCUGCCCUCAGCAUCUUCCCAGUGUAUGAUACAGUGAUGCUAACUGCAAUCACCGCUCCGUGCCUUCUGUCUCCAGAACUUACUCCUCCUACAACUGGAAGUUUGUGACCUUUGACCAACGUCCCCCCAUUUCCACCCCCCGCCCCCCAAGGACAGCCUUAUUCAUUCAUUUAACAGAUGUUCCUUGAACACCUGCUUCACGUUAGUUGAACAGCUCUAGCUGGAACGCGUUGUUCGUAGAUCUGAGCCGGCUUUGAGGGAUCUCUGGUAGCUCCAUCCAUGGCCUCGUCCUGUUUUCACACUUUUAUGUGGAAAGAGAAAAAGCGGCCCUGUCAAGGAUGUGGCAUCGCGGUGUGAAAAGACUUCAAUGUAGUGGAUAAAAAUGGGGGCGCCCGGGCUGCUCAGUCGCUGGAGCGGGUGACUCUUGAUCUCAGGGUUUUGGGUUCGAGCCCCAUAUUGGGUGUAGAGGUUACUUAAAAAUAAGAUCUUUAAAAAUAUAUAUAUUACAUAAAAAUAGUGAAGAUGUCCAGCUUCGCUCUUACAGUUAUGGGCUCGGGUGCCUGGGUGGCUCGGUGGGUUGGGCCUCCACUUUCGGCUCGGUUCGUGGUCUCAGGGUCCUGGGAUUGAGCCCUGCAUCGGACUCUCUGCUUGGUGGGGAGCAUGCGUCCCCCACCCCACCUGCCUCUCUGCCUACUUGUGAUCUCUCUCUCUGUCAAAUAAAUAAAUAAAUACAUCUUUAAAAAAAUAAAAAAGCAAAACAAAAAGCAAAAAACUUAGUGGCUCAAGGGCCACCCGGGUGGCUCAGUUGGCCAAGCCUCAUUUGUGAUUUCAGCUCCGGUUGUGAUCUCAGGGUCAUGAGAUCAAGCCCCGUGUAGAGCUCUGCAUUCAACGGGGAGUCGGCUUAAGGUUCUCUCUCCCUCUGCCCCUCCCCCCAAUAAAAAUAAAUAAAUCUAAGAAAACCCACCUGUGGCUCAAAACAGCAAUAACAAGGGGAUGAUUCUGGUUGUGGAUCUGGGCCUGGCUGAGCUCAGCAGGGGGGCGGCUCGGACUCUGGGCCCCUCGUGUGGGCGGAGACCCCGCAGAGCCGUCCUCACCUGGCCAGGUGUCCGCAGGGGCGUCAGCAGGAAAGGGCAGGAGGACACCGACACCUGACUUCUCUGCGGGACCCCGGCGUCCUCAUGGCGUGGCAGCAGGCUCCCGAAAGCAGCCGUCCCAGGACCUGUGGAAGUCGCAGCCUCCGUUUGUGGUGUCAUUGCUGUAGAAGUCACAGUGACCUCGCUGUCACUAAUGACCAACUGGCGGAUUCGAGGGGAGGGGCACCGACAUUACCGGUCAGUGGCGGGAGCGCUGAUGUCGCGAUAAGAGCACGGGGAAGCGGGGACUGUGUGACGUCGCUGUUCGAGAAUACCAUCUGCUACUUUCAUUCAUCAUCAAAAAGAGACAUAGCGAGAGAGGGAACACAAGCAGGAGGAGUGGGAGACGGGGAAGCAAGCUUCCCGCUGAGCAGAGAGCCCGGUUUGGAGCUCAAUCCCAGGACCCCAGAAUCAUGACCUGAGCUGAAGGCAGAGGCUUAACCCGCUGAGCCCCCCAAGCGCCCCACGCUUAUCGCUUCUGACAGUGGAGUAUCCGUCUUCACCAGCCA